AAGCUGUCUGGGCAGAUGCGUGUUGCCGUUCAGAGAAGUGGAGGUGUCUGUUUGAGGUGCAUUGCAUUUUCCUGGAAUUCCUGCCUUUAUUGAAGAUGGAACCUUGUUUUCUUCACCAGCUUUGCUGUAUGCUGUGUGCCAUGCAGGCCACCUUUGGACUUGGAUGAGCAUUUGGGGUGCCACAAGCGAUGAUGGCUGCAGUGUCCAACACUGGAAUCUGUGUGGAGCAGAUGAUGAAGAGGAACCUGGCAACUGCAGGAAUAUCCUGGUUUGCUGAUGUGGUUUUUGUUGAGGAUGGAUUCAGAUCCCCAGCCCUCUGAAAGCUAAAUGCGGUGGUGUAAGCAUCUCGCGAUGCUCAAUAGAUUCCCCCCCGAGCCCAGCUUUGCCUGCCGGUGGCUAAGAAGACUCACCGUAAGGGGCCGGCCCUGUGCCUGGAGGCUCCUGGCUCUGUCUGCAGCGGGUGCCCCGCAGUCCAUCACAGCCAUGGAGUGCACAACCGAGCGAGGCUGCGUGUCUAGGAAGUUUCAUCUCGUAAGAGCUGUGAGACACCCACGUAUUCUCUCAGGUGGAGGACAGCCAAGUGACCAGAGUUACAGAAGAGGGAGGAGAGCAGGAGAAAGAAGGGUCUGAACUGACAAAUUCUUCUGGCAGCGCCGAGAGCAAGAGCUGUGCCCGUGGAGGUCCAUGGUGGAGCAGACAUGCACCCGCAGCCCGUGGAGGACCCCACGCCAGAACAGGUGGAUGUGCCUGCAGGAACCUGUGACCCUGUGGAGAGCGCACACUGGAACAGGCUCCUGUCAGCAGCUGUGGAGAGGAGCCCAUGCUGGAGGAGGUUUGCUGGCAGGACCUGUGGCCCCGUGGGAAGGACCCCACGCUAGAGCAGAAGAAGAACAUGAGGAGGAAGGAGCAGCAGGGACAACAUGUGAUGAACUGACCGCAACCCCUGCUCCCUGUCCCCCUGCACUGCU